CUAAGAGACCCCGAACGUUACAGAGAGCACACCCGGAAGCCGCUCUGGAUUCCAGAAUGGAUCAAUCCCCACCUGCGCUUGUCAGUGCCACCUCCUGCGGCCUUCAGUGCUAAUAAAAGUCACAAUGAGGAAAGCAAUAGGUUGCUGCAUGGCUUCACCUCCUGGGACUCGAGGGACCAUGAGAUCCAGAGGGGCGGCUGUAGCCAUAUGCCGGUUUGCAGCGUUUGAGAAGUGCGUGUGGACUCCUACGGCUGGUCCCCUCUCCUUCGGAUUCUGGUCGCAAGCUGUGUGUCACCUCUCCCUUGCUUCCCACUCCUUAAUGCCUUAACGUUGAAUGAUUUGAGAACGUU